rnacentral:rRNA from 1 species
CAUGCAAGUCGGGCGGUAGCACAGAGAGCUUGCUCUCGGGUGACGAGCGGCGGACGGGUGAGUAAUGUCUGGGAAACUGCCUGAUGGAGGGGGAUAACUACUGGAAACGGUAGCUAAUACCGCAUAACGUCGCAAGACCAAAGUGGGGGACCUUCGGGCCUCAUGCCAUCAGAUGUGCCCAGAUGGGAUUAGCUAGUAGGUGGGGUAAUGGCUCACCUAGGCGACGAUCCCUAGCUGGUCUGAGAGGAUGACCAGCCACACUGGAACUGAGACACGGUCCAGACUCCUACGGGAGGCAGCAGUGGGGAAUAUUGCACAAUGGGCGCAAGCCUGAUGCAGCCAUGCCGCGUGUAUGAAGAAGGCCUUCGGGUUGUAAAGCACUUUCAGCGAGGAGGAAGGCGUUGUAGUUAAUAGCUGCAACGAUUGACGUUACUCGCAGAAGAAGCACCGGCUAACUCCGUGCCAGCAGCCGCGGUAAUACGGAGGGUGCAAGCGUUAAUCGGAAUUACUGGGCGUAAAGCGCACGCAGGCGGUCUGUUAAGUCAGAUGUGAAAUCCCCGGGCUUAACCUGGGAACUGCAUUUGAAACUGGCAGGCUAGAGUCUCGUAGAGGGGGGUAGAAUUCCAGGUGUAGCGGUGAAAUGCGUAGAGAUCUGGAGGAAUACCGGUGGCGAAGGCGGCCCCCUGGAC